UACGGAGGGUGCAAGCGUUAUCCGGAUUCACUGGGUUUAAAGGGCGUGUAGGCGGGGACGUAAGUCAGAUGUGAAAUUCCUGGGCUCAACCCGGGCGCUGCAUCUGAGACUAUGUCUCUUGAGUGCUGGAGAGGAAAGCGGAGUUCCUAGUGUAGCGGUGAAAUGCGUAGAUAUUAGGAGGAACACCAGUGGCGAAGGCGGCUUUCUGGACAGUAACUGACGCUGAGGCGCGAAAGCUAGGGGAGCAAACGGG
rnacentral:rRNA from 1 species